rnacentral:misc_RNA from 1 species
AAGUCGUAACAAGGUUUCCGUAGGUGAACCUGCGGAAGGAUCAUUAACACGUAUCCAAACGUUAAAACCCCCCUGUGAACCUUCACCACUUCUUAAGCCCUCCCGGGGGUAGAGCAGGCAAUCCCUAGUAAAUCAUUGUCUUAACAGGUUUUGAGUUAGGGACGUCCCCCACUACAAGCGGACGCGCCGAAAGGUUGUAUCCACCCCUAAAACCGAACAACUGUUAACAAUGGAUAUCUUGGUUCUC